UACGUAGGGGGCAAGCGUUGUCCGGAUUUAUUGGGCGUAAAGAGCGUGUAGGCGGCCUGACAGGUCUGCUGUGAAAACUCGAGGCUCAACCUCGAGACGCCGAUGGAAACCAUCUGGCUAGAGUCCGGAAGAGGAGAGUGGAAUUCCUGGUGUAGCGGUGAAAUGCGCAGAUAUCAGGAAGAACACCCGUGGCGAAGGCGGCUCUCUGGGACGGUACUGACGCUGAGACGCGAAAGCGUGGGGAGCGAACAGG
rnacentral:rRNA from 1 species